UACGAGGGGGGCGAGCGUUGUUCGGAAUUAUUGGGCGUAAAGGGUGCGUAGGCGGCCUGACAAGUCUGAUGUGAAAUCCCUGGGCUCAACCCAGGGCCUGCAUCGGAAACUGUCGGGCUUGAGUAUGGGAGAGGUGAGUGGAAUUUCCGGUGUAGCGGUGAAAUGCGUAGAUAUUGGGAGGAACACCAGUGGCGAAGGCGGCCUUCUGGACCAGCACUGACACUCAAGCACGAAAGCGUGGGAGCAAACAGG
rnacentral:rRNA from 1 species